rnacentral:rRNA from 1 species
UACGUAGGGCGCAAGCGUUGUCCGGAAUUAUUGGGCGUAAAGAGCUCGUAGGCGGUCUGUCGCGUCGGAUGUGAAAGCCCGGGGCUUAACCCCGGGUCUGCAUUCGAUACGGGCAGACUAGAGUGUGGUAGGGGAGAUCGGAAUUCCUGGUGUAGCGGUGAAAUGCGCAGAUAUCAGGAGGAACACCGGUGGCGAAGGCGGGUCUCUGGGCCGAUAUUGACGCUGAGGAGCGAAAGCGUGGGGAGCGAACAGG